AACAUCUAAGUACCCCGAGGAAAAGAAAUCAACCGAGAUUCCCCCAGUAGCGGCGAGCGAACGGGGAGGAGCCCAGAGCCUGAAUCAGCAUGUGUGUUAGUGGAAGCGUCUGGAAAGGCGCGCGAUACAGGGUGACAGCCCCGUACACAAAAGCGCAUGUGCUGUGAGCUCGAUGAGUAGGGCGGGACACGUGGUAUCCUGUCUGAAUAUGGGGGGACCAUCCUCCAAGGCUAAAUACUCCUGACUGACCGAUAGUGAACCAGUACCGUGAGGGAAAGGCGAAAAGAACCCCGGCGAGGGGAGUGAAAAAGAACCUGAAACCGUGUACGUACAAGCAGUGGGAGCACAGGUUUACCUGUGUGACUGCGUACCUUUUGUAUAAUGGGUCAGCGACUUAUAUUCUGUAGCAAGGUUAACCGUAUAGGGGAGCCGGAGGGAAACCGAGUCUUAACCGGGCGUUAAGUUGCAGGGUAUAGACCCGAAACCCGGUGAUCUAGCCAUGGGCAGGUUGAAGGUUGGGUAACACUAACUGGAGGACCGAACCGACUAAUGUUGAAAAAUUAGCGGAUGACCUGUGGCUGGGGGUGAAAGGCCAAUCAAACCGGGAGAUAGCUGGUUCUCCCCGAAAGCUAUUUAGGUAGCGCCUCGUGAAUUCAUCUCCGGGGGUAGAGCACUGUUUCGGCUAGGGGGCCAUCCCGGCUUACCAACCCGAUGCAAACUGCGAAUACCGGAGAAUGUUAUCACGGGAGACACACGGCGGGUGCUAACGUCCGUCGUGAAGAGGGAAACAACCCAGACCGCCAGCUAAGGUCCCAAAGUCAUGGUUAAGUGGGAAACGAUGUGGGAAGGCCCAGACAGCCAGGAUGUUGGCUUAGAAGCAGCCAUCAUUUAAAGAAAGCGUAAUAGCUCACUGGUCGAGUCGGCCUGCGCGGAAGAUGUAACGGGGCUAAACCAUGCACCGAAGCUGCGGCAGCGACACUCAGGUGUUGUUGGGUAGGGGAGCGUUCUGUAAGCCUGUGAAGGUGGCCUGUGAGGGUUGCUGGAGGUAUCAGAAGUGCGAAUGCUGACAUAAGUAACGAUAAAGCGGGUGAAAAGCCCGCUCGCCGGAAGACCAAGGGUUCCUGUCCAACGUUAAUCGGGGCAGGGUGAGUCGACCCCUAAGGCGAGGCCGAAAGGCGUAGUCGAUGGGAAACGGGUUAAUAUUCCCGUACU
rnacentral:rRNA from 1 species